CUCACCCUGGGGCAGGCACAAGUACAUUU
rnacentral:piRNA from 1 species